rnacentral:rRNA from 1 species
ACUUUAAUUGAAGAGUUUGAUCAUGGCUCAGAUUGAACGCUGGCGGCAGGCCUAACACAUGCAAGUCGAGCGGCAGCACAGAGAAACUUGUUUCUCGGGUGGCGAGCGGCGGACGGGUGAGUAAUGCCU